AGAGUUUGAUCCUGGCUCAGGAUGAACGUUGGCGGCGUGCCUUAUGCAUGCAAGUCGAACGAUCUGACGGUUCGCAAGAGUUGUCAGAGAGUGGCGAACGGCUGAGUAAUACGUAAGCGACCUACCCUUAAGUGGGGAACAACCCUGAGAAAUCGGGGCUAAUACCGCAUGUGGUGACGGGGUCAAUGCCCCUUCACUAAAGCCGCAAGGCGCUUGAGGAUGGGCUUGCGUCCGAUUAGCUAGUUGGUGGGGUAACGGCUCACCAAGGCUACGAUGACUAGGGGUUCUGAGAGGAUGAUCCCCCACACUGGAACUGAGACACGGUCCAGACUCCUACGGGAGGCAGCAGUGAGGAAUAUUGGUCAAUGGACGCAAGUCUGAACCAGCCAUGCCGCGUGAAGGAUGACUGCCCUAUGGGUUGUAAACUUCUUUUACAUGGGACGAACCUACUCUACGUGUAGAGUACUGACGGUACCAUAUGAAUAAGCAACGGCUAACUCCGUGCCAGCAGCCGCGGUAAUACGGAGGGUGCAAACGUUGCUCGGAAUCAUUGGGCGUAAAGCGCACGUAGGCGGCUUGAUGUGUCGGAUGUGAAAGCCCUCGGCUCAACCGAGGAAGUGCAUCCGAAACUAUCUGGCUUGAGUACGGGAGAGGGUAGCGGAAUUCCCGGUGUAGAGGUGAAAUUCGUAGAUAUCGGGAGGAACACCAGUGGCGAAGGCGGCUACCUGGACCGAUACUGACGCUGAGGUGCGAAAGCGUGGGUAGCAAACAGGAUUAGAUACCCUGGUAGUCC
rnacentral:rRNA from 1 species